rnacentral:lncRNA from 1 species
CCAGUUCUAGAAGAAUUCUUCUUUUCCUCUGCUGAAAAAGGGAGUUCAGUUCAAAGCCAUCAGAAAUAUUUCAAGCAAAACUAUUUUUCUUCCCACAAGAAAAAUCAAUCACAAUAGAUAUAAUCUGUCUAAAAGUGAUAAAUGAACAUGAAACCAGGCUACACUCUUUGACUCUGCUUUCCUGCACAUCAGAACAUUCACAUUCUCUCUCUGCCAUCAGAUGAAGCUUAAAAUAAAAAUCACUGUGGACUGAAGCCAAGGUUAAAUCUCUAUAGACUACCAUGAGUCAAGCACACUAUUUACCUGAGGAUAAACAACUUUGCCUACAGGGCCAAUUCCUGCCAAACUGCUGAGAUUUUUAUAUUACUUGAGGCUCAUAACAUCACUUAUUAUUGUUAAUUAUUCUAAGCUCUGCAAUUUAACAGGCAAAAAUAUUUACAAUUCAUUUCACUCAGGUUGGAAUUUAGCUUCGUUUUUCUAUAUUAAAUUCUAAAGAAUAGCUAUGCUCCUUUUAUAUCCAACACUAACAGAUGUUAGUUUCCUCAGUUUUAUGGCUCUCAGAUGACAGACAACUAACUGUUUUUGGCCUUCGGAAUAAUUGCAACACCUUUGGAUUAUGAACUUGGUUCAGUUCUUAGCUGGGAACGGCAGGGGGUUAGUUCUUAUUAUCAAAGAUGUAAAGUAAGUUUUCCCUUAUGCUCUAGAUAUUCAUAUAAAGUUAUCUUUCAAUAGAGUAAUAUACAACUUUUCCCCCUUAUUGCUAAUCUGCUGUUUAAGUGGUUAUGGUAAGAGAAAAUAAUUGCAUAAAAAUAAAAUCUCUUAUUCAUUUUAUCUCCUGUUCUUGGCCAAAACAAGAUGUUAAAUCCAUUAAACUCUGAGUAUCCAGUAAAAGCAAGAAAGUAGAACUGUUCGUAUUUGUGCAUUCUUGGGAAAAUUGCCAACCUGUGCACUAGUAGCAGGAUCUGCGUAAUUAAUGGUGAUGUUAUUGACGGAGGGAGUCUGAUUUCCUUCUCAGGAGCAAUUUAAGAGUGCAAGCUGGCAGAGCUUUAGUAAAGCCUCACCUGAUUUAUUUUUAAAUUGAGGAAAUGUGACCUUGAAGUCAGCCAUAGAAAUCACCAAUAUUUAUGUACAUUUAUGGUGGCUUUGGUAGACUUCAAAGAAAUUCUGAAUGUACCAUUUUCUGUAGAACUGAAUGAUGAACACCAAAUGCACAAACUGACAAACAUUCCUUAAAAAGAGAACAAGUGAAUCAAAUCUUAGUUUCACUGUAUUUUUUCUCCAGAAAUCUAUAUUCAUAAGAAGAUACAUUAAAACCAAUUCUGUCCUAUCCCAAAAUGAAAUAAAAUCAGCCCCAAGUUCACACAGUCCUUUACACACAGUCUCUUGUCUCCUUUGCAGGCAACUUCCCCCUUUAUCCAGUUGUUGGACCUCAAGGACAGCCACGUAAGGAGUGUCAAUAAAGUGAGGAAUAAUCCAUGGCCUACUGAACUCACCCUCAGACUGACAGCUGUCUCUGCAACUAAGUAAGCAAACUCCGGGCUUCACGCUCCCUGGGAAACCCACAAGAGACCAGGAGGCAGCACUCUUACAGAGAACAUGAAUGGAAUCGUACUGUUAAACAUUGCUACUUGAAUCAUUAACUUUAAGAAAAUGAAGUUGGAAUAUUAAAGAAAAAGAAAAGCCCAGAAAUGCCAGCAUGAAUUGAAUGGCAACUUUGCCAGAACAAUCAGGUUUGUUAGUCCUGGAUGUUCUUUCUUUCUCAACCUCAGGGUGUGUACUAGAACAAUAAUUGACUUAAAACUUUAAUAUAUAUACUGGCUGAUGUUGGAGCCCAUCCAUAUGUCAUACUGAUGUUUCUUUUUUUGAGGCAGGAAAGGAGAAAGAGAGGAAAAUAGAAGGUCAUUUCAUGAGAACAUGCCAAUGGGAUAAAUAUGAAAGAGCAUAGUUAAUGGCUUUCUUGCAGCCCUUAGGCUAUUUUUUUGUGAAAUGAUGAGUAGCCCCAAAUCAAAGCAGGAGAAUCUCCCUAGGUGCUGACAUGACUCACCAGGUUAGUACUAUCUCUGCAGCCUGACUAGUUGGCAAGAACUUUGGUAUGCAGUGUUUGCUUACUUCUUGGAAGAAAAAGCCUUGUUUGAGUGGAAAAGGCAAAUGGAUGAACGCUGGAUUGGGCAGUAAGAUAACAGGGUUCUGGACCCAGCACUGCCAUCCCAAUGACAUUAGUGAGGCUUUUCAGGACUUUAUUUCUGUCUCUGAAAUAGGGAGAUGCCUCAAGUCUCUUGCAGCUCUAACAUUUUAUGAGUGGCCUUUAUUUCUUACUGUUUCAUAGAGGAACAGAUGUCACAUUAGGAGAGGAUACUAAGUCUCCCCAUCUGUUCCCCAUGCCAACAAGACCAUCUGACAUAGGUGUCCAUUACUAUUUAACUUGCUGUGAUCCCUUAUUCUGACCAAAGUCUGAGAAUCAUAAAGUUUUUAAUUUGAACCAAACAAUAACAAUUCUGUCAAUGAAUCCAAAAACUAACAUUUUGUAGAAGCUAAGGCUUUUCCACAUGUCGAGGACACAAAGAUGCUUCCCUAACACCAAGAAAUGCAUGGUCCAGUUGAGACAGCCCUGUUAGUUAAGAAUUACAAUUCUGUGUGUAAAAUGCCCACAGUGACCUUGAACGGGAAUAAGUAGAACACGUAUUUAAGAUGAUGGAAAAGUAUGGGAAGACUUGCCAGGAAAAAUAACACUUGACUGAGUAUUUGAAAGAUCAUUAGAAAUUAGAGUGCAAAUGUGCUCCUAAAAACCUAAUAGUUGAUCAUCCUGAUGUCUUGAUUGCCUUUCCAAAUCUUUUCUUGAUCUUCAGCAGAGUGAGGUCAUGGGAUAUCCCUGGAAGGGGAAACAGCACAUACAAAUAUACAGAGACUGGAGUCUCUGUGUUUUACUGGGUGACCGUCAACUGCUGGGAAUGACUAGAACAUAGGAAGAGUCUGGAGUGGGAUGGAUGAGACUGCUAUGGUAGGCAAGGGCUAAUUAAUACACACUCUUGAAUGACACUCUGAUGAUCCUGGACUUCAACCUGAGGAUGAUCAGGGGGCAUUUUAGGCAGACAAGGUAUAGAAUCAGGCUUAUGUUUUUAAAAGAUCCCUUUGGAGAGAUUAUGGGUGAUGGAUUGGAAGGUGAUAACAGUGGGGGCAGGAAGACCAAUUUCACAUCUUGGCAAAAGUCCAAGUGGGAAACCAUGAUGUCUAAUCCAAAACGAAGUAACAGAAUCGAAACGAGAAGACACUAAGAGAGAUUUGGGAGGUUGAAAAUGUAUCUUUGGCCUACCCUACAUCUCUCAACUUUGAAAGUUAUUUCUGAAUUGACAGUUCCAUUCCCAGGGCCUAGUUUCGCUAGAUCACAAUGCCAAAUACUAUCCAGCUCUAAUAUUUCAUGAUUGGCCUUUCUUUAUCUUACUGUUUCACGAAGGAACAGAUGUCACAUUAGGGGAGGAAAUUCAGUCUCACCACCCACUUUCCAUGUCAACAAGACCUGUUGACAUGGGUGUCCGCUACUAUUAAACUUACUUUCAAGUUAAUGUUAUUGUAGUAUUACCCAAGUUGAAAAUUCCAUAUACCAUCUAUAAGUACAUAUAUUGUAAUGAGUUACAUAAAAUAUUAUUAUUAAACGUUAUUUUAGCAGAUGACAUUUACAAAGCUAGUGAUGCCUUAUGACAUCCUUUUCUUGUUUUCUAUGGUGGCUAACAUGGGGACUCUGACAAACACACUACAUGUGGCUAGUGGCUUAUGGGUCAAAUUAUAAAGACUAGAGGAAAGACAAACUAGCAUUAUUGAGAACUAAAUAUGUGCCAAGACUGUGCUCGGUGUUUCUACAUUUAUAAUUUGUAAUUUUAUUUAACCCUGGUGACAACUAUUUAGGCAAUGUCUGGUAGUGUUUUUGAAGAUCACAUGGCUAAUAGGCAGAGGAGCUAAAAUCCUUACUCAGCACUAAUUUUAAAUUGCCUCUUCCUCUGCACUCUGCUGUCCUCCACCCACCUUCCAGUAGACAUGAAAAUACCAAAAAGCUCAAUUAUAAAAUUCUCAGCUUAAAAGAAUUAUGUAUAUUGCAGAUUACUUACUAAAGAAAUAAUCUUUGGAAAUGAUACAUUACCCUUGUACUUUAAGAUAUGUGAUUCAGUUGACACACAUUUUCUAGACUUUGUGGUUUAUUUGGACAGUGUGAGACAAUCAUGUUGAAACUAGUUCACUCUACUCUUAAUUUCUCAUAAAAUUGCACUAUUGCAAGUACCUUUUACCAGGUAAAUUAUUGAGGCUAUCAUAAAACUGGAGACACGGCUAAUUGAAGAGUAUGAAUAAGAACCUCAUCAAAGGCUGGGUGUGGUGGCUCAUGCCUGUAAUCCCAGCACUUUGGGAGGCUGAAGGGGGUGGAUCACUUGAGGUCAGGAAUUUGAGACCAGCCUGGCCAACACGGUGAAAUCCCGUCUCUACUGAAAAUACAAAAAAUAUCCAGGCGUGGUGGUGCAUGCCUAUAAUCCUGGCUACUCCGGAGGCUGAGGCAGGAGAAUCCUUUGAACCCGGGAGGCCCAACUUGCAGUGAGCUAAGAUUGUGCCACUGCACUCCAGACUGGGUGACAGGGCAAGACUCCAUCUCAAAAAAAAAAAAAAAAAAAAAAAAAAAAAGAGAAGUUCAUCGAAAAUUGAGCUAACUAAAAGUAUUUCCAGCUUGGAGAUCCCACACUAAUCCGGAAGAAGUCACUGGAUCACAAUGGAGCACAACUUCCACAUUUAUAAAUAAUAGUGGUAGGCUUAAUGCUAUGAAAGUUUUAUUCCUGCUCUCAUUCUCACUUAUCGUGGUCCUUCUGAUCUCAUGUUACAUAUCAAUCUUGGAUGUUACAAUAAAUUUGCUAUGGCAGAAAACCUUUUCUUUUCUAUGAGCCUAUGAACUCUUGAAGAGGUCAGCAAACAUUCUUUGCACAUAAUAUGCACAUUUAGAAUAAGCAAGGGCUUUAAUUACCAAGCAUUGGGUCUUAUUUCUCAACAGGAGAGGUCUAGGCCACAAACAAACAUCUUUACUUCCAUAACACAAUCAGGACAGAAGGUAUGCAUGGUUAAUAGCAGUCUUUAAGAAGAAUGACUGACAAUGAUCCUUUAAAUUUUGGCCCAUAUGUAUGUCAGUACUAGGAAGGAUUUAAAAUAGUUGAGACCUUUUUGGAUAAAAUUGAAUGUGUAUAAAAUAUCCUGCUAAGUUAAGAUUAAAUAUUAGAAGUUUGGCUUUUAUCCACAUGUAUGAGUUUCCUGACUCAGAAAUAACCCAAAACUUUAAAUUAUAUUUGGCCUCUGGCAAAGUCUAUAAAAACAAGGGAAAUAUUCUACAUUAAUAAUGCAUUUAUAGACGACUAUCUCUAUUCAUAGAGGAGAAUAAUUGAAAUGGAAGUGGGUACAGCACCGUCUGUGCAAUAUGCAGACAAUUCAAACCCCAUAAUUUAUGGGUUAUAUUUUCAUGUGAUGUGUAGGGUCUUUUCUUCCAUUACAGAAACAGAUGUGCAAGAAAGUCAUAUCUAUUGGCAUAGGAAUAAUAUCACCAUUAUCACAUACGAGAAAUGAACAAAGGUUGACUGCUAGGGUUUUCAGGAGCUGUUAUUCAUAAAGUCAAAUAUUAGUAAUGAGCCACAACUGGGUUGCUCUCCUAUGGCUAUGCAACUGGCAAAAGAGAAGAGUUUUCCAUUAAAAUUGGACAUGCACACUCCCUCUUCAGUCAUAUCCUCUAUCCUUAUUCAUUUUUCCCACUAUGUAAAUUGUCCCACUUUUCAGGACUUUUUAAGGACUAUCCAGCCUUCACCAUUCUGUGUUUUUGUUUUUUUCUGGCAAAAGUAACACAAAUAAUGAAUCUACAAUAAAGAUAAAAAGUAUAGAAUGGAAUGUAGAGAGUCAAGAGUUAGAGGUGAGGGCCAUAGAUGGGGUUUCACUGGGUUACACAAGACCCAGGAGAGGGCAUCCUGCAGGUACUCUGUAAACAGACUUCAGUAUAAACCAGAUUGUUCUUGGAAAUGGACAAUUUGGAAAAAUAGGCAGUUGUUGACUCAUGAAAAUCUGUGUUACACAAGUCACCUAUCUACCAAAAGUUUUCUCAAUUCAAACCCCUUUGCUACUUUGAAAACUUCCUGACCCCAGAAAUCCCUCAUUCCAUCAUCAUUUUGGAGCCUUAGAGCUGUCACUCCUUCUCAAAUUUGCUUUUUUUUACCUUUUUUCCAUUUGAAUGAUGUUGCCUUUCAUCUUUACACACCGGGUUCUCAUAGGAAAAUAAGCUGCUGCUAAUCUUAACCUCUUGCUAUCUCCUUCAACCACAGAAAUUAUUAACACCUGGGGCUUACAAGGAGGUCUAUGGAUUUUCUAAAACUUAAUACGUUUUUAAGAUAAAUUUUUUAGUUAAAUAGAGAACUUUGGCAUGAUCCAAAACAUUGUUUAAAUGCAAAAAUAAAGACACAUUGAAAAUUGGUGCAUAAAUUGAGUGACCAGGUAAUUUUUCAUCUAAA